rnacentral:misc_RNA from 1 species
UUCAUUUCAGGCACAAGCAAAAUAAGCAUGCGAAUCAAAAUUGAACAUAUGUAAAUUAUAUGAUUAGCAACUCAAAUUUUAAAAUUCUUAACUCAAAAUAAACUGGAUGCACAUUUUCUUUUCUUAUCAUUUCCACUUUUCUUUAAUUGCUCUCUCCUUUCUAAGUUCCUGAUUGUUUCUUUUCUCUCCCUCUCUCCCCUGACUCCUCUGUUAUUCAGGGCUUUCUGCAUUUGUUUGUAGCUGGGACUUUUCAGUUUUCCCCAGGAAUCUCAUGGUUAUACUGAAUAGAGCUAGCAUUAGGUUACACGUCAUCAGCCUUUAGAGCAAUUGCCUUUCCAAAUGGCCACAUAACCAUUCAAUUCAACAUUUGAUAAAUGUAUCAUUGUCCAAUAUACAUAACAUACCGAAUAUUAUGAUGUGAGCUGAUUCUUGAUUCUCAAUUCAAUAAUUAGGAUUUCAAUUCAAGAUUUGAAUCUCAAUUUGACAACUGUGCUUUCUAGUCCUUUAAUAGUCUUAUAUGCCGUUUAUUGAAUUAAAUUAGUUACUGGUCCAAGAGUUCAUAGAUUCAGUCUAUUUAUGUUUCAAGUUGUAGUAAAUUCCUUAUUAGCUCAAUAGUGU